rnacentral:rRNA from 1 species
CCCUUAGAUGUCCUGGGCCGCACGCGCGCUACAAUGACACGUUCAGCAAGUUUCGCCCUGACCUGGAAAGGCUCGGGUAAUCUUGGUAAUACGUGUCGUGUUAGGGAUAGAUCUUUGGAAUUAUGGAUCUUGAACGAGGAAUUCCUAGUAAGUGCAAGUCAUCAGCUUGUACUGAUUACGUCCCUGCCCUUUGUACACACCGCCCGUCGCUCCUACCGAUUUCGAGUGGUCCGGUGAACCUUUUGGACUGCGCAAGCGGAAAGCUAAGUAAACCUUAUCACUUAGAGGAAGGAGAAGUCGUAACA